rnacentral:rRNA from 1 species
AUACGUAGGGGGCGAGCGUUGUCCGGAAUGAUUGGGCGUAAAGGCGCGUAGGCGGCCCGGUAAGUCUGGAGUGAAAGUCCUGUUUUUAAGAUGGGAAUUGCUUUGGAUACUGUCGGGCUUGAGUGCAGGAGAGGUAAGUGGAAUUCCCAGUGUAGCGGUGAAAUGCGUAGAGAUUGGGAGGAACACCAGUGGCGAAGGCGACUUACUGGACUGUAACUGACGCUGAGGCGCGAAAGUGUGGGGAGCAAACAGGAUUAGAUACCCUGGUAGUCCACACUGUAAACGAUGAAUGCUAGGAGUAGGAGGUAUCGACCCCUUCUGUGCCGCAGUAAACACAGUAAGCAUUCCGCCUGGGGAGUACGGUCGCAAGAUUAAAACUUAAAUGAAUUGACGGGG